rnacentral:rRNA from 1 species
UCCUGGCUGUAAACGAUGCCCGCUAGACGUUGGCGGUCUUACGUGGGUCGUCAGUGUCGUAGCGAAAGCAUUAAGCGGGCCGCCUGGGGAGUACGGUCGCAAGGCUGAAACUUAAGGGAAUUGGCGGGGGAGCACACAAGGGGUGGAGGCUGCGGUUUAAUUGGACCCAACGCCAGGAACCUUACCAGAGGCGACAGCAGGAUGAAGGUCAGGCUGAAGACCUUACCAGACAA